GGCGGGGUAAAAGCCCACCAAAGCUACGAUGGAUAGCCGGCCUGAGAGGGUGUACGGCCACACUGGAACUGAGAUACGGUCCAGACUCCUACGGGAGGCAGCAGUAGGGAAUAUUGCGCAAUGCCCGCAAGGGUGACGCAGCGACGCCGCGUGGGCGAUGAAGCUUCUUGGAGUGUAAAGCCCUGUCAGGAGGGACGAAUGGUUGCAGUCGUAACUGGCUGCGAUUUGACGGUACCUUCAGAGGAAGCUCCGGCCAACUCCGUGCCAGCAGCCGCGGUAACACGGGGGGAGCGAGCGUUGUUCGGAAUUACUGGGUGUAAAGGGCUCGUAGGCGGGGAAGAAGGUCGAAUGUGAAAACUCAUGGCUUAACCAUGAGCCUGCAUCCGAAACCACUUCUCUUGAGUAUCGGAGAGGAUAGCGGAACUCCUGGUGUAGCGGUGAAAUGCGUAGAUAUCAGGAGGAACGCCGGUGGCGAAGGCGGCUAUCUGGCCGAAUACUGACGCUCAGGAGCGAAGGCCGGGGGAGCAAACAGGAUUAGAUACCCUGGUAGUCCCGGCAGUAAACGAUGGGUACUAGGUGUUGGAGGGAAUUGACCCCUUCAGUGCCGCAGCUAACGCAUUAAGUACCCCACC
rnacentral:rRNA from 1 species